rnacentral:rRNA from 1 species
GACGCUGGCGGCGUGCCUAACACAUGCAAGUCGAGCGGAGUUGACAAGAGGAAGUUUUCGGAUGGAAUUUUGUUAAUUUAGCGGCGGACGGGUGAGUAACGCGUGAGCGACCAACCUUGCACAGGGGGAUAACGGACCGAAAGGUUCACUAAUACCGCAUGAGACCACGGUGUUGCAUGACACAGGGGUCAAAGGAGCAAUCCGGUGCAAGACGGGCUCGCGUCCGAUUAGGUAGUUGGAGGGUAACGGCCCACCAAGCCUAUGAUCGGUAGCCGACCUGAGAGGGUGAUCGGCCACAUUGGAACUGAGAUACGGUCCAAACUCCUACGGGAGGCAGCAGUGGGGAAUAUUGGGCAAUGGGGGAAACCCUGACCCAGCAACGCCGCGUGAAGGAAGAAGGUUUUCGGAUUGUAAACUUCUGUCCUUGGUGAAGAGAAGAAGACGGUAGCCAAGGAGGAAGCCCCGGCUAACUACGUGCCAGCAGCUGC